UACAGAGGUCUCAAGCGUUGUGCGGAUUCAUUGGGCGUAAAGGGUGCGUAGGCGGCGCGGUAAGUCGGGUGUGAAAUUUCGAGGCUUAACUUCGAAACUGCAUUCGAUACUGCCGUGCUUGAGGACUGGAGAGGAGACUGGAAUUUACGGUGUAGCGGUGAAAUGCGUAGAUAUCGUAAGGAAGACCAGUGGCGAAGGCGGGUCUCUGGACAGUUCCUGACGCUGAGGCACGAAGGCCAGGGGAGCAAACGGG
rnacentral:rRNA from 1 species